UCGGACAUGGUGCAAGGGAUAGCGCGGUCUCAUAAAUUCUCCCAUGGGCUGGGAUGAGAGACAGAUCGAGGUUCGAUUCCUCGUGUUCGUC